GACGAACGCUGGCGGUGUGCUUAACACAUGCAAGUCGAACGGUAAGGCCCUUUCGGGGGUCCACGAGUGGCGCACGGGUGAGUAACACGUGAGUAACCUGCCCUCAUCUCUGGGAUAACAGUCGGAAACGGUUGCUAAUACUGGAUAUGAGCCUGCAAGGCAUCUUGUGGGUUGGAAAGAUUUUUUGGUUGGGGAUGGACUCGCGGCCUAUCAGCUUGUUGGUGAGGUAGUGGCUCACCAAGGCUUCGACGGGUAGCCGGCCUGAGAGGGCGACCGGCCACAUUGGGACUGAGAUACGGCCCAAACUCCUACGGGAGGCAGCGGUGGGGAAUAUUGCACAAUGGACGGAAGUCUGAUGCAGCAACGCCGCGUGCGGGAUGACGGCCUUCGGGUUGUAAACCGCUUUCAAUUGUGACGAAGCUUUUUGUGACGGUAGCAGUAGAAGAAGCACCGGCUAACUACGUG
rnacentral:rRNA from 1 species